UUGCAACUGAAAUGUCAAUAAACGCAAGGCUGUUUGGAAAGCAUUCUUCAGUACGUGGAAUAUGCAUUUCACCUCACUGGAGGUUUAAUUCCAGACUGGAGCCUUUUGCUCCAGGAAAAAUUUAGCAACUUCAGUUGCUUUUUCUUUUCCUCUUUUACCCAUAUAUUCUUCAAUUGCAUUCUUCAGGCUUUUCUGAUGUUUGGUUACCCUUAUUCUCUCAUUUCCCCUUCCCCUUCCCCUUGGGUUGCAAAUGAGUUUGGUUAAGAACCUCUUCCGGUUCCUCCUUCAUCCAGGUAAGGCUCAUUCUCCUUCUUCCGUUCCUCUUCGGCUGAAAGCGUCAGAGAUUCUACCGCAAAUUUAAGACUGGUAAUCUUCUUUUCUGUUGAAUUUUAUUUUUUAUUUUUCAUAUUUCAUUUAAUUUUCCUGUUCCAUUCUAUUGAAAUGAAAAACCAGUAAAGAAUUGGCUGUAGUUUUCUUUCACUCUGUUUAUAAAAUGAAGCUUUGGCUCAGAUUUUAUGGUUUCAGUUUCCCAUUCCAACUCAGCAUCAACUGAAUGUUAAAAUGAUUUGACAGUGUUUUUAUAUGCACUGUUUUUCCAGAUAAGAUUUUCUCAAAUUCAUCAAUACAAAAGUAAAAAAUAAGAACCCUAGAAUUCGGAGCUUAGUUCAGUGGUUUAUGUUCUUUUAAGAGAGAAUUUUAAUGUAAGUUUAGCCUCUUGUAUAUAUUUGCUCUGUUCAUUGAAAAGUCCUCUAAUUUACUUAAUUUUGCUAUUGAAUGCUUGUUAAUGAAAAGACAAUUGAAUUUAAGUUUGUAGCUGCUUUCUAUGUUCCAAUUUCUGCAUUUUCUUUACUAUGCUCAGCUUGUAUAUGAUUUAUUUGCUGAAGAUGUGUUUCUAAGAAGCUGAGGCCUAGAAAUGGUUUCAAAAGUUGCUUUUAUGCUUUGCUUUUAUUAUAAUAAAACACUUCACUUUCUUUAGAAGAGUGACCUUCUGAAAUCUGUUAAUGCUUUAAUUUUUAAUAUAGGAUUUUACUUGCUAAAGGUUCCCAUGGAAUUAUUAGACUUUGAGUUAGGUACUUGUGUUGUAAAUAAGGACUAUCUUUAGUGAGUGGUCAUUGAUUCGUGCACUUAUGGGUGGUAAACUUUGAGAUGCUACAGAAUCCAUUUUGGCGCAUUUAGUCAUUAUACUGCAUCAUAGCUGCAUAUACUUUCUAGUUUUUAUUUGGCUGUUGAAUGCAUGAACCGAAAGCAUUAGUAAACCAGAAGAUUGAAGAGUUGAUCUUCUGUUUGGGUUGUGAUCUAUCUUUGCAACUAUUGAUAGUUAUGACAUAGCUGCUCUUUGUUCUAGAAAGGAGAGGUAAUUUUUGUCAUUGUGCUGAAAUGUCAUAACUUAUAUGUUGUCCUCAGUAAGUCUGUUUCAUAUUCCCCUGGUUUUAUUGGUUUUACCAGUAUGCUGCCUCUCUUUCUUGCUUUGAAACGUGUUGCAAAGUCCUGACAAAAGCUGGCCAGGUGUAUUACAAUUGGCUGUCAUCUUACUGAUUGGUUUUUAUGAUAUCUGGCUCAAUGGCUUUCUUUUGCUACCUUCACACCAAAUCUAAAAGGCCUUAAAUUUUAUUAGAAAGGUGCUUUCAUUCUUUCAUUGAACGACAUAGUUUAUCUCAUUCAAUAAACAUCAUCAUAUAGACUAGUUGCAAACAAGUUAUGUAGAAACUUGAGAUAAUCAAGGGAAAGGGGGUUGUCGAGGUUUGAAUCCUCGACCUAGUGUCAACCAAGACUUGAAAGCAACAUAAGUCAUUUCUCAGUUGAUACUACACCGGUGGCUUGGUUACAUGGAAAGUUGGGAUUAAAAUAUUUAUAUAUAUACACACACAUAUAUAUGAGGUUACUUUGGCAGGGUCAUUGAUGAAAUGAUUUGUAUUAAUUGUUCUUGAAAAGCAUGAUAUGUAUUAAUUGUUCUUCUUCAAAGCAUGUGGAUUCAGAGAUGAUAUAUUGGGCUCUACUAUGAUGAUGUAUAGUAGGACAGUUUCAAGUACUUGUUUUGAAUGUGAGCGGAUGGUUAAACAAGCUGGUUGAAAACUGUAGUUAGUUCCAUCACUUCAAUUGCAGUUAGCAUCUUCCAAGACAACUAAACCACAAAGUUGAACCGCAUCAAACAUAUGGAUUUAGAAAGGCCGAGAAAUUAUUUCUUUUGUGUAUUCAAGCUUCAGUUUCUUUUUUAUCUUAGAAGAUUGCCCUCUUAUAUUUAUUGGCUUCAUUCGUAAUGUAGCAAUAAAAUAGAAGCUUUGGAGGGAUAUGGAAUGAAGCUUCAAUCAUGGCACAACAUACUGAUAGUAAUCAUAUAUUGUAUUAAGAACUGUAAUAUAUGCUACCUGGACUCUUGUUUUACCGUAAAUUACAUGUUUCGGCAUAUAUUUGGAAUAGGUAUGGGCACAACAUACUGAUAGUAAUCAUAUAUUGUAUUAAGAACUGUAAUAUAUGCUACCUGGACUCUUGUUUUACCGUAAAUUACAUCUUUCGGCAUAUAUUUGGAAUAGGUAUGGGGAUAUAGUCUUUCAAAUAUAUGAAAAAUAUUGAGCAUGACUAUGUUAGAUGUGGUACUCUCAUCUGAUGAGUCUAGGCAACCUAUUUUUUCAGCCACGCAGUGAAUUUUAAAUGGCCUCAUUUAACUUAUUCACCCACAUAAGUUCAUUUAUUUUAAUCAAACAGCC
rnacentral:lncRNA from 1 species